GGACGGGUGAGUAACACGUGGGUAACCUGCCCAGAAGCAGGGGAUAACACCUGGAAACAGAUGCUAAUACCGUUAUAACAGAGAAAACCGCCUGGUUUUCUUUUAAAAGAUGGCUCUGCUAUCACUUCUGGAUGGACCCGCGGCGCAUUAGCUAGUUGGUGAGGUAACGGCUCACCAAGGCGAUGAUGCGUAGCCGACCUGAGAGGGUAAUCGGCCACAUUGGGACUGAGACACGGCCCAGACUCCUACGGGAGGCAGCAGUAGGGAAUCUUCCACAAUGGACGCAAGUCUGAUGGAGCAACGCCGCGUGAGUGAAGAAGGGUUUCGGCUCGUAAAGCUCUGUUGUUAAAGAAGAACGUGGGUGAGAGUAACUGUUCACCCAGUGACGGUAUUUAACCAGAAAGCCACGGCUAACUACGUGCCAGCAGCCGCGGUAAUACGUAGGUGGCAAGCGUUAUCCGGAUUUAUUGGGCGUAAAGCGAGCGCAGGCGGUCUUUUAAGUCUAAUGUGAAAGCCUUCGGCUCAACCGAAGAAGUGCAUUGGAAACUGGGAGACUUGAGUGCAGAAGAGGACAGUGGAACUCCAUGUGUAGCGGUGAAAUGCGUAGAUAUAUGGAAGAACACCAGUGGCGAAGGCGGCUGUCUGGUCUGUAACUGACGCUGAGGCUCGAAAGCAUGGGUAGCGAACAGGAUUAGAUACCCUGGUAGUCCAUGCCGUAAACGAUGAUUACUAAGUGUUGGAGGGUUUCCGCCCUUCAGUGCUGCAGCUAACGCAUUAAGUAAUCCGCCUGGGGAGUACGACCGCGAGGUUGAAACUCAAAAGAAUUGACGGGGGCCCGCACAAGCGGUAGGAGCAUGUGGUUUAAUUCGAAGCUACGCGAAGAACCUUACCAGGUCUUGACAUCUUCUGCCAACCUAAGAAGAUUAGGCGUUCCCUUCGGGGACAGAAUGACAGGUGGGUGCAUGGUUGUCGUCAGCUCGUGUCAUGAAAAUGGUUGGGU
rnacentral:rRNA from 1 species